rnacentral:pre_miRNA from 1 species
UUGAACUUGAACCGUUCGUCUUAUUUGAAUUAUUUUAUAAUUAUUUUUUUUAUUAUUAUAUAAUAAAACAUAAACAAUACUUUAUGUGUAACUUAUUUUUUUAUUUCUUUUUCAUAAAAUUUUCAAAUAAGACGGAUGAUUAAACGUUAGACAUGAAUACCCAU